rnacentral:rRNA from 1 species
UCCAGAGUUUUGAUCAUGGCUCAGAACGAACGCUGGCGGCAUGCCUAACACAUGCAAGUCGAACGGGGUCGGGACUUCGGUUCCGGCUUACGUGGCGCACGGGUGAGUAACACGUGGGAAUCUGCCCAUCUAUGGGGAAUAACUGCGGGAAACUGCAGCUAAUACCGCAUACGCCCUUCGGGGGAAAGGCUUCGGCCGUAGAUGGAUGAGCCCGCGUCCGAUUAGCUAGUUGGUGGGGUAACGGCCUACCAAGGCGACGAUCGGUAGCUGGUCUGAGAGGAUGAUCAGCCACACUGGGACUGAGACACGGCCCAGACUCCUACGGGAGGCAGCAGUGGGGAAUAUUGGACAAUGGGCGAAAGCCUGAUCCAGCAAUGCCGCGUGAGUGAUGAAGGUCUUCGGAUUGUAAAGCUCUUUCGACGGGGAAGAUAAUGACGGUACCCGUAGAAGAAGCCCCGGCUAACUUCGUGCCAGCAGCCGCGGUAAUACGAAGGGGGCUAGCGUUGUUCGGAUUUACUGGGCGUAAAGCGUGCGUAGGCGGCUUAUCAAGUCAGAAGUGAAAGCCCGGGGCUCAACUCCGGAACUGCUUUUGAGACUGGUAGGCUGGAGUUCGGGAGAGGGUAGUGGAAUUCCCAGUGUAGAGGUGAAAUUCGUAGAUAUUGGGAAGAACACCGGUGGCGAAGGCGGCUGCCUGGCCCGAAACUGACGCUGAGGCACGAAAGCGUGGG